ncrna:Bombyx mori (domestic silkworm) microRNA bmo-mir-316 precursor
UGCAUAAAUUUGUCUUUUUCCGCUUUGCUGCUGAUUUUUUUCGUACGUCAACGGCAAAGUGAAAAGGUCUCCUUUAUGAGAA